rnacentral:rRNA from 1 species
UUAUUAAAGCAUUAAAUGGAUACUUAAACAUUAAAUUUUAAAUUGGGCGUUUCAUAACGAAAAGUUGUUAGGAGUGUUCUUUACAUUGAGAUUAACAACAACCCAUAAAAUCGGAAAAUUGAACUUUAUUGAUAUAAGAAUUAUUUAAAUAUUUUUAAAUAAAAAACUUAGUGAAUUGAAACAUCUAAGUAACUAAGAAGUAAAAUCAACCGAGAUACCGUAAGUAGUGGCGAGCGAAUGCGGUGUAAGACUUAAAAAAUUAAAACAUAUAUUUAAAUAUUAUUGCCGUAGAAGGAAACCUAUUUAAAGGUAAGCCCUGUAAAAUAUAAUUUAAUUUUUUAUAAAAAUUAGUAGAAUGGUACAAGUCAUGUGCUGUUUGAAUAGUGGGGGACCACCCUCAAAGUCUUAAAAUUUUUAAUGAUUGAUAGUGAAAAGUACCGUGAGGGAAAAGUGAAAAAGAUCUUGUGAAAUUGAAAAGAUUUUGAAAUUUAAUGCUGACAAUCAGUUAUAGCUUAAUAUUAAAAGUGAUAACGUACCUUUUGUAUAAUGGACCAACAAGUUUAUUGGAAUGGCGAGCUUAAAUAUUACAAUAUGUAGGCGAAAAUAAAGUAAGUUUUAAAAUGCUUUUUAGUCAUUCUAAUUUGACCCGAAACUAAGUGAUCUAACCAUGAACAGGUUGAAAUUAAGGCGGAAACGCUUUUUGGAGGACCGAACCCGUGUAUGUGGAAAAAUGCUGGGAUGAUUUGUGGUUAGGGGUGAAAGGCUAAUCAAACUUAGAGAUAGCUGGUUUUCUGCGAAAUCUAUUUAAGUAGAGCGUUUUAAAAACUUUAUUAGGGGUAGAGCUCUUGAUAAAUGAUGGGAGUUUUUGGACUUUACUGAAUUUAUUAAAACUUCGAAUACUAUUUAAAAAGAAUUAAAACAGACAGACUAUGAGUGCUAAGAUUCAUUGUCAAGAGGGAAACAGCCCAGACUAUUGGUUAAGGCCCUAAAAAGUAAUUAAGUGAAAAAAUAGUUAAAAAAUGUUAACAUCCGAUAGGUAGGCUUAGAAGCAGCCAUCCUUUAAAGAAAGCGUAACAGCUCAUUGGUUUAGUUUUUUGGCUUUGAAAAUGUAAAAGGACUUAAAUAACUUGCCGAAACUGUAGAUUUUAAAAAAAUGGUAGCAGAACGUUCUGUAAAUUUAAGAAGAUUUAUGGUGACAUAAAUUUGAAAAAUCAGAAGUGAAAAUGUUGGUAUGAGUAACGAUAAACAAUGUAAAAAACAUUGUCGCCUUAAGUUCAAGGUUUCCAAAACAAGGCUAAUCCGUUUUGGUUAUAUAAUUCGGUCUCUAAGAAAAUAGCGAAAGCUUUCUUCGAUGAGUUUAAUAAAUUAAUUUUUAAUUUUUAAAAGUGACAAAAUAUAAAUAUUAUUUUUAUUAUAUGGUUACAAAAUAAAAGUUUUAUAGUAUUUUCAAGAAAUAGCUUUUGAAAAAUCAAACCGUACCUUAAACCGACACAGGUGAACAAAUUUAGUAAAUUAAGGCGCUUGAGAUAAUUGUGUUGAAGGAACUCGGCAAAAUGACUCUGUAACUUCGGGAUAAGGAGUGACUUUUAUUGGGAAACCUUUAAAAGUUGUCACAAAAUCGAGGACAGCGACUGUUUAUUAAAAACACAAGUCUCUGCUAAUUCGUAAGAAGAUGUAUUGAGACUGACGCCUGCCCAGUGCUGCAAGAUUAAAGGAAUAAGUUUUUGGCUUUGACCCUAACUCCCAGUAAACGGCGGCUGUAACUCUGACGGUCCUAAGGUAGCGAAAUUCCUUGGCAUUUAAUUGGUGUCCUGCAUGAAUGGCGUAACGACUGUCCUACUGUCUCCAACACAAUCUCAGUGAAAUUGAAAUUUCCGUGAAGAUGCGGAAUUCCUGCGGCUAGACGGAAAGACCCCGUGCACCUUUACUAUAGUUUUGCAUUGUAAUAAAAAUUUUUAUGUGUAGCAUAAGUGGAAAGUUAUAUUUUAAAAUGUUCACACAAGUGAAUUGUUUAAACGUCAUUGAAAUACCACUCUUAAAAAUUUUUAUUACUUAUUUUUUAAGACAUUGCAUAACAGGUAGUUUGACUGGGGCGGUCGCCUCCUAAAUAGUAACGGAGGCGUACAAAAGGUAAGUUUGAAUUGAUUAAAACAAUUCAUAAGCGCAAUAGUAUAUACUUGCUUGACUGUAAGAUUGACAAAUCAAACAGGGACGUAAGUCGGUUAUAGUGAUCCGGUGAUUCUGAGUGGAAAAGGUCAUCGCUCAACGAAUAAAAGGUACGCCGGGGAUAACAGGCUAAUCACCCUCUAGAGACCCUAUCGACGGGGUGGUUUGGCACCUCGAUGUUGGAUUAUCGCAUCCUGGAACUGUAGGCGGUUCCAAGGGUUUGGCUGUUCGCCAAUGAAGGCGGUACAUGAUCUGAGUUUAGAACGUCGUGAGACAGUUUGGUCCCUAUCUACCGUGGGUGUAAAAAAUUGAGAGGCGUAAACUCUAGUACGAGAGGACCGAGAAAAGUGAAUCCCUGGUGGAUCGAUUGUUAGACCCAUAGCAUUGUCGAGUAGCUAAAUUCAUAAUAAAUAAUCGCUGAAAGCAUCUAAGUGAGAAAUUAUCCUCAAUACCAUUUUUUAAAUAUGUAAAAGACUAUUACAUUGAUAGGUUUGGUGUGUAAAAACUGUGAGGUUUUUAGCUAACAAAUACUAAAAUUUCAAAAUAUACUUAAAAUACAAA